UGGGGAAUAUUGCACAAUGGGCGAAAGCCUGAUGCAGCAACGCCGCGUGAGUGAUGGAGGCCUUCGGGUUGUAAAGCUCUGUCUUUUGGGACGAUAAUGACGGUACCAAAGGAGGAAGCCACGGCUAACUACGUGCCAGCAGCCGCGGUAAUACGUAGGUGGCAAGCGUUGUCCGGAUUUACUGGGCGUAAAGGAUGCGUAGGCGGAUUUUUAAGUGAGAUGUGAAAACCCUAAGCUUAACUUGGGGACUGCAUUUCAUACUGGAAAUCUAGAGUGCGGGAGAGGAGAAUGGAAUUCCUAGUGUAGCGGUGAAAUGCGUAGAGAUUAGGAAGAACACCAGUGGCGAAGGCGAUUCUCUGGACCGUAACUGACGCUGAGGCAUGAAAGCGUGGGUAGCAAACAGGAUUAGAUACCCUGGUAGUCCACGCCGUAAACGAUGAGUACUAGGUGUAGGAGGUAUCGACCCCUUCUGUGCCGCAGUUAACACAAUAAGUACUCCGCCUGGGAAGUACGAUCGCAAGAUUAAAACUCAAAGGAAUUGACGGGGGUCAUAGCUGUUUCCU
rnacentral:rRNA from 1 species